GACGGGGGAUGCACACGUUAUCCGGAAUCACUGGGCGUAAAGCGUCUGUAGGUGGUGAUGCAAGUCACUGGUGCACAACUCUGGCUCAACCGGAGGAAAGCCAGUGAAACUGCAUGACUAGAGUGUGGGAGAGGUAGAAGGAAUUCCCUGAGUAGCGGUGAAAUGCGUAGAUACAGGGAAGAACACCGGAGGCGAAAGCGUUCUACUGGAACACAACUGACACUGAGAGACGAAAGCUAGGGGAGUGAAUGGG
rnacentral:rRNA from 1 species